GAGAGAGACCAUGCUACCCUGAACCUGCCUGAUCUCAGAAGCUAAGCAGGGUUAAGUCUGGCUAGUACUUGGAUGGGAGACCGCCUGGAAAUACCAGGUGCCCUAGGCU